AACAUAUCACAUCAAGGAUGAACUUGUCACCAGUAGCCCUCUACAUAUCCAAUAGUGCCAGAACGUAGAAUGGGUCCUGGUCUUUCUCUUACAUAGCAUAACAUAACAUUCCAAUGUGCCAGAACGUAGAAUGGGUCCUGGUCUUUUUCUUACAUAGUGCCAGCGAAUGUAGAAUGGGUCCCACUGGUCUUACAUUCCGUACCGUACAUAUCAUAUCG
rnacentral:lncRNA from 1 species